AACGCUGGCGGCGCGCUUAACACAUGCAAGUCGAGCGAGAACCGGGACUUCGGUCCCGGGGACAGCGGCGAACGGGUGAGUAACACGUGGGUAAUCUGCCCUCGAUUCUGGGAUAGCCCGGGGAAACCCGGAUUAAUACCGGAUAGCCUUCAGAGCUCUCGGGCUCGGAAGAAAAGGUAGCUUCGGCCUCCGAUCGAGGAUGAGCCCGCGGUGGAUUAGCUUGUUGGCGGGGUAAUGGCCCACCAAGGCGACGAUCCAUAGCUGGUCUGAGAGGACGAUCAGCCACACUGGGACUGAGACACGGCCCAGACUCCUACGGGAGGCAGCAGUGGGGAAUCUUGCGCAAUGGGCGAAAGCCUGACGCAGCGACGCCGCGUGGGGGAAGAAGGCCUUAGGGUUGUAAACCUCUUUCAGGCGGGACGAAGCCACUCGGGUGAAUAGCCCAGAGGGUGACGGUACCGCCAGAAGAAGCCCCGGCUAACUACGUGCCAGCCGCCGCGGUAAGAC
rnacentral:rRNA from 1 species